GACGAACGCUGGCGGCGUGCCUAAUACAUGCAAGUAGAACGCACAGUUUAUACCGUAGCUUGCUACACCAUAAACUGUGAGUUGCGAACGGGUGAGUAACGCGUAGGUAACCUGCCUGGUAGCGGGUGAUAACUAUUGGAAACGAUAGCUAAUACCGCAUAAUAUUAAUUAUUGCAUGAUAAUUGAUUGAAAGAUGCAAUUGCAUCACUACCAGAUGGACCUGCGUUGUAUUAGCUAGUAGGUGAGGUAACGGCUCACCUAGGCGACGAUACAUAGCCGACCUGAGAGGGUGAUCGGCCACACUGGGACUGAGACACGGCCCAGACUCCUACGGGAGGCAGCAGUAGGGAAUCGUCGGCAAUGGACGAAAGUCUGACCGAGCAACGCCGCGUGAGUGAAGAAGGUUUUCGGAUCGUAAAGCUCUGUUGUAAGAGAAGAACGGGUGUGAGAGUGGAAAGUUCACACUGUGACGGUAUCUUACCAGAAAGGGACGGCUAACUACGUG
rnacentral:rRNA from 1 species